rnacentral:lncRNA from 1 species
CAAUAGUUGACAGUGAUGUGGCCUCUAGCUUUCCAGAAGAGAGGAAGUCACUGUCCAUCAUACAGUGCUUUAAUUUGAGGUCUGGACCUCAGUGCAUAAGUUAGUACCCUCUUCUGUGUUCCUAGGGCACUUUAUAUCUCUGUUAUCAUUUAGUCACUAUCUUAUAAUUGUCACUAUCUUAUAAUUGUCACUAUCUUAUAAUUCUUUUUACUCAUCUGACAUCCUCCACUGGAGUGUGAGCACCUGAAAUUUGGAUUUCUUAAAUAUCUCUGUCUCAGGACUUAGCAUGAUGCCUGAGGCUGAACUGAUGUCUGUGGAGAAAAGAACACGAAGGAAUAAUGUAAUAUGAAACUCCCUAACAUGAUACAUAUACAAAGACUAUUGAGAAAUCAAUGUGGAAAAUGCAAAACUAAGGGAGAAAGCAUUUUGAACCACUCAUCUAAGAAUAUGGUCAGUAUUAAAAAGACAAGAAUAUCAGAAAAAUCUCCCAAGUUAUGUUCAUAGGCUUAGCAGAAUAAAGGUAAGGCUUACUAGUUAAAU